UACAGAGGCCUCGAGCGUUAGGCGGAAUCACUGGGCUUAAAGCGUGUGUAGGCGGACUUCUAAGUACCUUGUGAAAUCCCACGGCUCACCCGUGGAACUGCUUGGUAUACUGGUUGCCUUGAGCCUUCUAGGGGCGAGUGGAACAAAUGGUGGAGCGGUGAAAUGCGUAGAUAUCAUUUGGAACGCCAAUGGUGAAAACAACUCGCUGGGGAAGUGCUGACGCUGAGACACGAAGGCCAGGGGAGCGAACGGG
rnacentral:rRNA from 1 species